CCCCUAGAUGUUCUGGACCGCACGCGCGCUACACUGAACAGUUCAACAAGUCUUAACCUUGGCCGAUAGGUCUGGGUAAUCUUUGAACGCUGUUCGUGAUUGGGAUAGACCUUUGCAAUUAUGGGUCUUCAACGAGGAAUUCCUAGUAAACGCAAGUCAUCAGCUUGCAUUGAUUACGUCCCUGCCCUUUGUACACACCGCCCGUCGCACCUACCGAUUGAAUGGUCCGGUGAAAUCUCGGGACGGCGGCUCGGUCGCUUGCGUCCGACUGCUGAAACUUGAUUAAACCAUAUCAUUUAGAGGAAGGUGAAGUCGUAACA
rnacentral:rRNA from 1 species